GGCACAGCAGUGGGAAACAAAACUUCCUGCUUGCGGUGGUGGGAGCACAAAGGGCCUCCACUUUUUGGUAUUGAGGUGGGUGAACAGGUGCACUACAACACGGGACCAGUUCGAUAAGAGCCCUUAGAAGAGAGCCCUUAGCAAUCUGGUGUUCAAGAGGAGGGCUUAAAAUGAUGGAAUAGCUUGAAUGUGCAUGGGGAAGAUGACAAGAGUUGGUGGAGGCAACCUUAUCCUCAUUAGCAACAUCUUAAAUCACUGAGUGAAUGUCCUUUCUCAUGUUUCCUGCAGUUGCUGCAGAUAAUUCUGAGUCUAUAAAACUUCGCUGGAUAUAGCUCUGUUUGCAGGAUCUCAUUCCAGUUUUGAGGAGUAAGUACAUUCUUGUCUGGUCUUUCAGAGUGAUGCAGUUUGGAAAAACAACAUACCAAAGCAGUUUUCUUCCAUGUGGUCGUCCAUCAGCAUAGAUGUCUGCACUAUCUGUGCCCACCAAUUUACCUAGGUAUCACCUUCAGCAAGAGAAGACUGGGGGAAAGAGAAUGUUUUCCUGUUGAGAAGAGAAUCCUUUUUUAACUUACUGAUUGAGAGGACAUGCUUUCCAUCCUAUAUUGUUUGUUAUUUGUCCCAAGGGUUG